GAUGAACGCUGGCGGCGUGCCUAAUACAUGCAAGUCGAGCGAACGGACGAGAAGCUUGCUUCUCUGAUGUUAGCGGCGGACGGGUGAGUAACACGUGGAUAACCUACCUAUAAGACUGGGAUAACUUCGGGAAACCGGAGCUAAUACCGGAUAAUAUUUUGAACCGCAUGGUUCAAAAGUGAAAGACGGUCUUGCUGUCACUUAUAGAUGGAUCCGCGCUGCAUUAGCUAGUUGGUAAGGUAACGGCUUACCAAGGCAACGAUGCAUAGCCGACCUGAGAGGGUGAUCGGCCACACUGGAACUGAGACACGGUCCAGACUCCUACGGGAGGCAGCAGUAGGGAAUCUUCCGCAAUGGGCGAAAGCCUGACGGAGCAACGCCGCGUGAGUGAUGAAGGUCUUCGGAUCGUAAAACUCUGUUACUAGGGAAGAACAUAUGUGUAAGUAACUGUGCACAUCUUGACGGUACCUAAUCAGAAAGCCACGACUAACUACGUG
rnacentral:rRNA from 1 species